rnacentral:rRNA from 1 species
GCUGAUGCAGCCAUGCCGGUUAUAGAGACGCUUCGGUUUGAACGUACUCCAGCGGAGGAACGUGUGUGAUACUACCGCAGCAAUGGACGUCACCCGCAGAAGAGCAGCUGACUAACUCCGUGCAGCAGCCGCGUAUACGGAGGGUGCAAGCGUUAAUCGUAAUUACUGGUCGUAAAGCGCACGCAGGUCGUCUGUCAAGUCGGAUGUGAAAUCCCGCGGACUCAACGUGGGAACCUGCAUUCGAAACUGGCAGGCUAGAGUCUUGUAGAGGGGGGGUAGAAUUCCAGGUGUAGCGGUGAAAUGCGUAGAGAUCUGGAGGAAUACCGGUGGAGAAGGCGGCCCCCUGGACAAAGACUGACGCUCAGGUGAGAAAGCGUGGGGAGCAAACAGGAUUAGAUACCGUGGUAGUCCACGCCGUAAACGAUGUCGAUUUGGAGGUUGUGCCCUUGAGGCGUGGCUUCCGGAGCUAACGCGUUAAAUCGACCGCCUGGGGAGUACGGCCGCAAGGUUAAAACUCAAAUGAAUUGACGGGGGCCCGCACAAGCGGUGGAGCAUGUGGUUUAAUUCGAUGCAACGCGAAGAACCUUACCUGGUCUUGACAUCCACAGAACUUUCCAGAGAUGGAUUGGUGCCUUCGGGAACUGUGAGACAGGUGCUGCAUGGCUGUCGUCAGCUCGUGUUGUGAAAUGUUGGGUUAAGUCCCGCAACGAGCGCAACCCUUAUCCUUUGUUGCCAGCGGUUAGGCCGGGAACUCAAAGGAGACUGCCAGUGAUAAACUGGAGGAAGGUGGGGAUGACGUCAAGUCAUCAUGGCCCUUACGACCAGGGCUACACACGUGCUACAAUGGCGCAUACAAAGAGAAGCGACCUCGCGAGAGCAAGCGGACCUCAUAAAGUGCGUCGUAGUCCGGAUUGGAGUCUGCAACUCGACUCCAUGAAGUCGGAAUCGCUAGUAAUGGAGAUCAGAUGUCGGA